GAAGGGACCUAGCGUAGUUCGGAAUUACUGGGCUUAAAGAGCACGUAGGUGGUUAAGAAAGUUGGUGGUGAAAUCCCAAGGCUUAACCUUGGAACUGCCACCAAAACUUUUUAACUAGAGUAUGAUUGAGGUAAGCGGAAUUUCUAGUGUAGAGGUGAAAUUCGUAGAUAUUAGAAAGAACACCAAUUGCGAAGGCAGCUUUCUGGAUCAUUACUGACACUGAGGUGCGAAAGCAUGGGUAGCGAAGAGGAUUAGAUACCCUCGUAGUCCAUGCCGUAAACGAUGUGUGCUAGACGUUGGGAAUUUAUUUUUCAGUGUCGCAGCAAAAGCGUUAAGCACACCGCCUGGGGAGUACGACCGCAAGGUUAAAACUCAAAUGAAUUGACGGGGACCCGCACAAGUAGUGGAGCAUGUGGUUUAAUUCGAAGAUACGCGCAGAACCUUACCAACACUUGACAUGUUCGUCGCGAACUCAAGAGAUUGGGUUUUUCAGUUUGGCUGGACGAAACACAGGUGCUGCAUGGCUGUCGUCAGCUCGUGUCGUGAGAUGUUGGGUUAAGUCCCGCAACGAGCGCAACCCUUACUUUUAGUUGCUACCAUUUAGUUGGGCACUCUAAAAGAACUGCCGGUGAUAAGCUGGAGGAAGGUGGGGAUGACGUCAAGUCCUCAUGGCCCUUAUGUGUUGGGCUACACACGUGCUACAAUGGUAUUUACAGAGGGAAGCUAAGAGGCAACUCCAAGCUAAUCCCAAAAAGAUACCUCAGUUCGGAUUGUACUCUGCAACUCGAGUACAUGAAGCUGGAAUUACUAGUAAUCGCGGAUCAGCGCGCCGCGGUGAAUACGUUCCCGGGUCUU
rnacentral:rRNA from 1 species